rnacentral:misc_RNA from 1 species
UACGUAGGGGGCAAGCGUUGUCCGGAAUUAUUGGGCGUAAAGCGCGCGCAGGCGGCUCUUUAAGUCAGGUGUUCAAGCCCGGGGCUCAACCCCGGUUCGCACCUGAAACUGGAGGGCUUGAGUGCAGUAGAGGAGAGCGGAAUUCCUCGUGUAGCGGUGAAAUGCGUAGAGAUGUGGAGGAACACCAGUGGCGAAGGCGGCUCUCUGGCCUGUAACUGACGCUGAGGCGCGAAAGCGUGGGGAGCAAACAGG